AUGCUGCUGCGGGGUGCGUGAUACACUCUAAUCCCGGUGGCCGAUAGCUAUUCGCUAGGGAGCUGUCACUGGCAGGCGGAAGUGUUUUGCCGCCUCUUGACCUGUCAAACGGCACCCACCUGUUUUACAGGGCCUCACGCGGAUAGAAAACGUACACGGCUCGCGCGGCAGCACU
rnacentral:other from 1 species